rnacentral:rRNA from 1 species
GUGUCAGCAGCCGCGGUAAUACGGGGGAUGCAAGCGUUAUCCGGAAUUAUUGGGCGUAAAGGGUCCUGAGGUGGCUAGCCAAGUCUAUUGUGAAAUAUCAGGGCUUAACCCUGAACAUGCGGUGGAAACUAGAAAGCUUGAGUACAGUAGGGGCGGAGGGAAUUUCCGGUGGAGCGGUGAAAUGCAUAGAUAUCGGGAAGAACACCAACGGCGAAAGCACUCCGCUGGGCUGAUACUGACACUGACAGACGAAAGCUAGGGUAGCGAAAGGGAUUAGAUACCCCCGUAGUCC